rnacentral:rRNA from 1 species
UACGGAGGGUGCAAGCGUUAUCCGGAUUCACUGGGUUUAAAGGGUGCGUAGGUGGGUCUGUAAGUCUGUGGUGAAAUCUCUGAGCUUAACUCGGAAACUGCCAUGGAUACUAUAGAUCUUGAAUACCGUGGAGGAUAGCAGAAUAUGUCAUGUAGCGGUGAAAUGCUUAGAUAUGACAUAGAACACCAAUUGCGAAGGCAGCUGUCUACCCGAAUAUUGACACUGAGGCACAAAAGCGUGGGGAUCAAACAGG